CGAAAGCCUGACGGAGCAACGCCGCGUGAGGGAUGAAGGCCUCUGGGCUGUAAACCUCUUUUCUCAAGGAAGAAGAUCUGACGGUACUUGAGGAAUAAGCCACGGCUAAUUCCGUGCCAGCAGCCGCGGUAAUACGGGAGUGGCAAGCGUUAUCCGGAAUUAUUGGGCGUAAAGCGUCCGCAGGCGCCCGUACAAGUCUGUCGUUAAAGCGUGGAGCUUAACUCCAUUUAAGCGAUGGAAACUGUAAGGCUUGAGUGUGGUAGGGGCAGAGGGAAUUCCCGGUGUAGCGGUGAAAUGCGUAGAUAUCGGGAAGAACACCAGUGGCGAAGGCGCUCUGCUGGGCCAUAACUGACGCUCAUGGACGAAAGCCAGGGGAGCG
rnacentral:rRNA from 1 species